UACAGAGGGUGCGAGCGUUAAUCGGAAUUACUGGGCGUAAAGCGUGCGUAGACGGUUACGUAAGUCGGGUGUGAAAGCCCCGGGCUCAACCUGGGAAUUGCAUUCGAGACUGCGCAGCUAGGGUGCGGAAGAGGGAAGCGGAAUUUCCGGUGUAGCGGUGAAAUGCGUAGAUAUCCGGAGGAACAUCAGUGGCGAAGGCGGCUUCCUGGCCUAAGACUGACGCUGAGGAGCGAAAGCCAGGGGAGCAAACGGG
rnacentral:rRNA from 1 species